rnacentral:rRNA from 1 species
UUCCUAGUACGGCGAGUGAAGAGGAAGAGCUCAAAGUUGGAAACUGUUUGGCUUAGCUAAACCGUAUUGUAAACUGUAGAAACAUUUUCCUGGCACGCCGGAUUAAUAAGUCCUUUGGAACAAGGCAUCAUGGAGGGUGAGAAUCCCGUCUUUGAUCCGAGUAGUUGUCUUUUGUGAUAUGUUUUCAAAGAGUCAGGUUGUUUGGGAAUGCAGCCUAAAUUGGGUGGUAAAUCUCACCUAAAGCUAAAUAUUUGCGAGAGACCGAUAGCGAACAAGUACCGUGAGGGAAAGAUGAAAAGAACUUUGAAAAGAGAGUUAAACAGUAUGUGAAAUUGUUAAAAGGGAACCGUUUGGAGCCAGACUGGUUUGACUGUAAUCAACCUAGAAUUCGUUCUGGGUGCACUUGCAGUCUAUACCUGCCAACAACAGUUUGAUUUGGAGGAAAAAAUUAGUAGGAAUGUAGCCUCUCGAGGUGUUAUAGCCUACUAUCAUACUCUGGAUUGGACUGAGGAACGCAGCGAAUGCCUUUAGGCGAGAUUGCUGGGUGCUUUCGCUAAUAAAUGUUAGAAUUUCUGCUUCGGGUGGUGCUAAUGUUUAAAGGAGGAACACAUCUAGUAUAUUUUUUAUUCGCUUAGGUUGUUGGCUUAAUGACUCUAAAUGACCCGUCUUGAA